rnacentral:rRNA from 1 species
UACGUAGGGGGCAAGCGUUGUCCGGAUUUAUUGGGCGUAAAGAGCUCGUAGGCGGUCUGUCGCGUCUGCUGUGAAAACCUGGGGCUUAACUCUGGGCGUGCAGUGGGUACGGGCAGGCUAGAGUGCGGUAGGGGAGACUGGAAUUCCUGGUGUAGCGGUGAAAUGCGCAGAUAUCAGGAGGAACACCGGUGGCGAAGGCGGGUCUCUGGGCCGAUACUGACGCUGAGGAGCGAAAGCGUGGGGAGCGAACAGG